rnacentral:rRNA from 1 species
CCUACGGGGGGCAGCAGUAGGGAAUAUUGCUCAAUGGGGGAAACCCUGAAGCAGCAACGCCGCGUGGAGGAUGAAGGUUUUCGGAUUGUAAACUCCUUUUGUUAGAGAAGAUAAUGACGGUAUCUAACGAAUAAGCACCGGCUAACUCCGUGCCAGCAGCCGCGGUAAUACGGAGGGUGCAAGCGUUACUCGGAAUCACUGGGCGUAAAGAGCGCGUAGGCGGGAUAGCAAGUCAGAUGUGAAAUCCUAGGGCUUAACCAUAGAACUGCAUUUGAAACUGUUAUUCUAGAGUAUGGGAGAGGUAGGUGGAAUGCUUGGUGUAGGGGUAAAAUCCGUAGAGAUCAAGAGGAAUACUCAUUGCGAAGGCGACCUGCUAGAACAUAACUGACGCUGAUGCGCGAAAGCGUGGGGAGCAAACAGGAUUAGAUACCCGGGUAGUC